rnacentral:rRNA from 1 species
UGAAGGGUUUGAUCCUGGCUCAGAAUGAACGUUGGCGGCAUGGAUUAGGCAUGCAAGUCGAGCGAGAAGCUUUAGUUUGACGCUUCGGUUGAUUUCUAAAGUGGACAGCGGCGCAAGGGAGAGUAACGCGUAGUUAUCUACCCCGGGGUCCGGAAUAGCUGAGGGAAACUUCAGGUAAUACCGGAUGAUAUCUUCGGAUCAAAGGUGUGAUUCCGCCCUGGGAGGGGACUGCGUACUACUAGCUUGUUGGUAGGGUAAUGGCCUACCAAGGCUUUGAUCAAUAGCUGAUUUGAGAGGAUGAUCAGCCACAUUGGGACUGAGAC